UGAAAUCCAGUAUUACUGAAAUACAACGGGAUAUAUAAAGACAUAACUUUUGUAAAAUAUAUUCAGAUAAUAAAAGGAAUUUAUACAGGUAGCGACUACCGCAUAACAUUAUGGAGGAAAAAUCAAAACUAGAUGUUGAAAAAGAAAGUAACUCUGCCAUAAAUUUGAACUCGUUUACAUUCCUAGGAUCAAAAGUUUUGUUUUUUCUACUGGUUGCAAUACAUUUGUUAUGGCUUGGGCUUGGGAUGGCAAAAAUUAUUAUUGGUAAAAAGUACAUUGACGAGUGCGACCUUGAAGAAAUGAUUCCAAUCUGGCUAAUAGUGGAUGGAUUUAUACCAUGUUUUUCGCAACUGGUUUUUUACCUCAUUGUAUCGACAGCAGCGGUAAAGCUUUGAAAAAAGUCGGACUGGUUUGUCUGAUGAUUGGGGCAAUUUUGUCGAUAGGAUGGUCAAUAUGUGGUGGCGUUUUUAUCUAUCCAAACUGGAAUGACGGAGGGGAUUGUGACAAAGUGGUGGCGACAUUUGCCUUCGUUUCGAUUACCAUUAACUGGUCUGUGAUUGGCAUCUGGAGCCAGCUUGUCAUUCGGUUGAUAUUCUUCUUUUGUUGUCAGAAGGAUCGAAAGACAUGUCCUCAUUCUGAAAAGAAACAACCUAUUCCAUAGGAAACACCGCAAGGGCCUACAAAUACGAGAAAACCGUGCACUGCUGGUUUAUAGAUGCUUUGCAAGCAUGCUUUGACUGUAUUUACUAGAUGUUGACAGACUUUCAUUUGUUCAAUCUUGCAUACAGAAUGACUGUAUUUUACUACUGAAGUUAACAAGAGACCAAUUGGGGCUAACAUUAGCGGAUUGAUGAUGCGGGCAAGAUUCAGAGAAAAUUCAGUGAAUCAGACCCCGCCCCCCACCCCCCCCCCCCCCCCGACACACACACACACAGAGUAAAUCUGUUUUAGCCUACAACGAAGUACAUUAAGUACAUUAAGUUGCACUGCAACUGGAAACUGUCGCUUUUACAGCUAAUAUGAUUUUUUUUAGGUGUGCCGCUUUUGAUAUUUAUUAUUAUCUGAUUUAUAACAUAAAUGUAACUCACUCUUAUUAGAACUUUCUUUAUUGCUUGGAGAAGAAAUUGUUUUGGCCUAUUAGCUCAGUAGAUGCACUGGCUAUUCGGAGAGCUAGCAAUUGUGCAGCGGUCUUCCUGCAGUCGUACUUCAGCCUUGUGAAAACUGAGGACGGUAAUAACGCUUCGCAGAUAUAUCUAUGAUAUAGAUUUUAAUGAAGAAUUUUCAGCUAACGAACAACUAAUUUACAGUUCUGUUAUUGGUUCAGUUUGUAAGAACCUUUUUAUCUGAACGCAAACAAUUUAGUCCUAAUUUCUAUUGUUAGGACACAAUGUCAUGCUUUGAUGUAAUUAAACGUUGUUUUUGUGA
rnacentral:lncRNA from 1 species